rnacentral:lncRNA from 1 species
CAGUCAGUGUGUCUGGCGGGUGUCGGCGUGAAGCGGGGCUGGGCCAGCGGGAGGUAGCUCUGUGGGAGUGGAAGGCCUGUAUUUCUCUACCUGGACCGCACGCUCCUCGCGCAAGGAGGGUAGAGCUCAAGUUCCGUGAUGAUGGUCUAAGCAAAGACCCUUCGUCCUGUUAAAGAUAAAUUAAAAAAAAAAAAAAAAAACCAAAGGGAACAAAACUUACUCUGCAAAAGUAAUAUAUGAUUUACCUGCUGUUGUCAUAAGAAUUCCAAAUAGACAAACUCGGUAUGCUUGGGAUUUGCUUUACAUUCUAAGUGGAUUUGGAGAAGAGACAAUAAAGAAUAAGCAGUCAAUUCUAUAAUAUAUUUAGAAGGAGAAAAGUGCCAAGGAGGAAUGAAAAAGUAGAACAAGGCAAAUGUGGAUAUAUGUUUAUAACUGCACAAAUGAAUUCUGAAGGGACGCAUAAGACAUUGGUAUUGGUUGCCUAUGGGGAAUAUAAUUGAUAUG